GGGGCCGUAGUCUAGCGGUAGGAUUGAAUCGAAUCCCUAAAGCCCGCCUUACACGCGGGAGAUCCCGGGAGGGGAUUCCCCGGGAAUUCAAAUCCCGGCGGCCCCA
rnacentral:tRNA from 1 species